ACAGUGGACGCGAGCAUCUUUGUUGUAAGUAAUGAAGAGCGUACGGUGGAUGCCUUGGCACCAGGAGCCGAUGAAGGACGUAGGAGGCUGCGAUAAGCCUCGGGGAGCUGUCAACCGAGCUGUGAUCCGAGGGUGUCCGAAUGGGGAAACCCAGCACGAGUGAUGUCGUGUUACCCGCAUCUGAAUAUAUAGGGUGUGUGGAGGGAACGUGGGGAAGUGAAACAUCUCAGUACCCACAGGAAGAGAAAACAAUAGUGAUUCCGUGAGUAGUGGCGAGCGAAAGCGGAUGAGGCCAAACUUUGUGCGUGUGAUACCCGGCAGGGGUUGCGUAUGGAGGGUUGUGGGGUUUGCAUUGUCGAUUCUGCCGGAUCGGCCGACAGUGAGAAAUUGUGGUGUUAGUCGAAGUGGUCUGGAACGGCCUGUCGUAGAGGGUGAGAGUCCCGUAGACGAAAACAUUGCAACUGUCGUUGUGGAUACCCAAGUAGCAGCGGGCCCGUGAAAUCUGCUGUGAAUCUGUCGGGACCACCCGAUAAGCCUGAAUACUCCCUGGUGACCGAUAGCGGACUAGUACCGUGAGGGAAAGGUGAAAAGUACCCCGGGAGGGGAGUGAAAUAGUACCUGAAACCGUGCGCUUACAAUCCGUCAAAGCCGGUGCAUGACUUGUCAUGGCUGGUGAUGGCGUGCCUUUUGAAGAAUGAGCCUGCGAGUUAGUGGCAUGUCGCGAGGUUAACCCGUGUGGGGUAGCCGUAGCGAAAGCGAGUCCGAAUAGGGCGUAUCCACCUCGAGUGGUGUAGUGGCGUGUUCUAGACCCGAAGCGGAGUGAUCUACCCAUGGCCAGGUUGAAGCGACGGUAAGACGUCGUGGAGGACCGAACCCACUUAGGUUGAAAACUGAGGGGAUGAGUUGUGGGUAGGGGUGAAAGGCCAAUCAAACUCCGUGAUAGCUGGUUCUCCCCGAAAUGCAUUUAGGUGCAGCGUCACGUGUUUCUCACCGGAGGUAGAGCUACUGGAUGGUCUAGGGGGCCUACAAGCUUACCGAAAUCAGCCAAACUCCGAAUGCCGGUGAGUGAGAGCGUGGCAGUGAGACUGCGGGCGAUAAGGUUCGUAGUCGAGAGGGAAACAGCCCAGAUCGCCAGCUAAGGUCCCUAAGCGUGUACUAAGUGGAAAAGGAUGUGGGGUCGCGAAGACAACCAGGAGGUUGGCUUAGAAGCAGCCACCCUUGAAAGAGUGCGUAAUAGCUCACUGGUCAAGUGAUCCUGCGCCGACAAUGUAGCGGGGCUCAAGUACACCACCGAAGCUGCGGCACUCACACAAUAGCCCGCUGAAUCCUUGCGAGGGUUCAGCCAGGUGUGUGGGUGGGUAGGGGAGCGUCGUGCAGCCAUGGAAGCAUCGGAGUGAUCCAGGUGUGGAGGCUGCGCGAGUGAGAAUGCAGGCAUGAGUAGCGAAAGACGAGUGAGAAACUCGUCCGCCGAAUGACCAAGGGUUCCUGGGCCAGGUUAAUCCGCCCAGGGUGAGUCGGGACCUAAGACGAGGCCGACAGGCGUAGCCGAUGGACAACGGGUUGAUAUUCCCGUACCCGUGUAACCGCGCCCAUGGUGAAUCAGUGACACUAACCACCCUGAAUCCAUAUGACCGAUCUCUUUCGAGAGUGAGGCGUGUGGUGGAUGCGUGGGACCUGAUCUGGUAGUAGCCAAGCGAUGGGGUGACGCAGGAAGGUAGCUGGGCCAGUCAGUGGUUGUACUGGUGUAAGCCUGUAGGGCGAACGGUAGGCAAAUCCGCCGUUCAUGAAGCCUGAGAGGUGAUGCGUAGCCGAUUGAGGCGAAUUCGGUGAUCCUAUGCUGCCGAGAAAAGCCUCUAGUGAGUUGUUACACGGCCCGUACCCCAAACCGACACAGGUGGUCAGGUAGAGAAUACUAAGGCGAUCGAGAUAACUAUGGUUAAGGAACUCGGCAAAAUGCCCCCGUAACUUCGGGAGAAGGGGGGCCCCUGCCGGUGAUGGAACUUGCUUCCUGAGCUGGUGUGGGCCGCAGAGACCAGUGAGAAGCGACUGUUUACUAAAAACACAGGUCCGUGCGAAGUCGCAAGACGAUGUAUACGGACUGACGCCUGCCCGGUGCUGGAAGGUUAAGAGGACCGGUUAGCCAGUAAUGGCGAAGCUGAGAAUUUAAGCCCCAGUAAACGGCGGUGGUAACUAUAACCAUCCUAAGGUAGCGAAAUUCCUUGUCGGGUAAGUUCCGACCUGCACGAA
rnacentral:rRNA from 1 species